GAUUGAUGUGAUGAUAAGCUUUCACAGAAACUGUUUUUAAGUGUUCCACAAAAAUUCAGACUACAAUUAUCUGGUCAACU